GUAUAAAAUAUCUUAUUUUCGAGGUUUCCUCGCGAAAAACGGCCAAGGUCCUCUCUUCAUGAUGCGCUCCAGGUGAUGUUGACCGUUCGCCGAUCAGCGGUGUUAUGGUGCAGGAAAACGCCGAGGGGUAGUAUCGCGGGGGAAUGAUUUAUGACUUCGGGGACCAGUUUGUGAAGCGCCCGAUGACCGUACAUCCGAAAUUGAGCUACGCGACAAUGGAGAAAUUGCGUUGCAAGUUCAGCGAUAUCCUGUCAGUUGUAUUUAUGCGAGUCACCUUAUUCCCAUAAUUUUUCUUAACGAGUCCAAAAAAAGAACUCAACGUUAUGCGUCAACCCGAUACGUUGCACUAAAAUCGUCCGGAAAACGAAAAAGUUGAAAGGAAAAGAGGGAAAAGACAGAGUCAAGGCAUGGCAGCACAGUUACCCCGAACGAUCAUCAAUCAUCAAGAGCGAGACAAUCGAAUAGCGCAGCCAACCGUCGAACAGCUGUCUCUUCGGUAGGCUCUAACCGUACACGUUACACGUUGCUACAGCUAUUUUACAAAAUAGGAAGAGAUUUUAU